GACGAACGCUGGCGGCGUGCUUAACACAUGCAAGUCGAACGGAAAGGCCCUGCUUUUGUGGGGUGCUCGAGUGGCGAACGGGUGAGUAACACGUGAGUAACCUGCCCUUGACUUUGGGAUAACUUCAGGAAACUGGGGCUAAUACCGGAUAGGAGCUCCUGCUGCAUGGUGGGGGUUGGAAAGUUUCGGCGGUUGGGGAUGGACUCGCGGCUUAUCAGCUUGUUGGUGGGGUAGUGGCUUACCAAGGCUUUGACGGGUAGCCGGCCUGAGAGGGUGACCGGCAACAUUGGGACGGGGAUACGGCCCAGACUCCUACGGGAGGCAGCAGGGGGGAAUAUUGCACAAUGGGCGGAAGCCUGAUGCAGCAACGCCGCGUGCGGGAUGACGGCCUUCGGGUUGUAAACCGCUUUCGCCUGUGACGAGGCGUGAGUGACGGUAAUGGGUAAAGAAGCACCGGCUAACUACGU
rnacentral:rRNA from 1 species